rnacentral:rRNA from 1 species
ACUCCUGCGGGAGGCAGCAGUGGGGAAUAUUGCACAAUGGGCGCAAGCCUGAUGCAGCCAUGCCGCGUGUAUGAAGAAGGCCUUCGGGUUGUAAAGUACUUUCAGCGGGGAGGAAGGCAAUACGGUUAAUAACCGUGUUGAUUGACGUUACCCGCAGAAGAAGCACCGGCUAACUCCGUGCCAGCAGCCGCGGUAAUACGGAGGGUGCAAGCGUUAAUCGGAAUUACUGGGCGUAAAGCGCACGCAGGCGGUCUGUCAAGUCGGAUGUGAAAUCCCCGGGCUCAACCUGGGAACUGCAUUCGAAACUGGCAGGCUUGAGUCUUGUAGAGGGGGGUAGAAUUCCAGGUGUAGCGGUGAAAUGCGUAGAGAUCUGGAGGAAUACCGGUGGCGAAGGCGGCCCCCUGGACAAAGACUGACGCUCAGGUGCGAAAGCGUGGGGAGCAAACAGGAUUAGAAACCCUAGUAGUCCCAUGA